rnacentral:rRNA from 1 species
UCUGGAUUCAGCGGCGGACGGGUGAGUAAUGCCUAGGAAUCUGCCUGGUAGUGGGGGACAACGUUUCGAAAGGAACGCUAAUACCGCAUACGUCCUACGGGAGAAAGCAGGGGACCUUCGGGCCUUGCGCUAUCAGAUGAGCCUAGGUCGGAUUAGCUAGUUGGUGAGGUAAUGGCUCACCAAGGCGACGAUCCGUAACUGGUCUGAGAGGAUGAUCAGUCACACUGGAACUGAGACACGGUCCAGACUCCUACGGGAGGCAGCAGUGGGGAAUAUUGGACAAUGGGCGAAAGCCUGAUCCAGCCAUGCCGCGUGUGUGAAGAAGGUCUUCGGAUUGUAAAGCACUUUAAGUUGGGAGGAAGGGUUGUAGAUUAAUACUCUGCAAUUUUGACGUUACCGACAGAAUAAGCACCGGCUAACUCUGUGCCAGCAGCCGCGGUAAUACAGAGGGUGCAAGCGUUAAUCGGAAUUACUGGGCGUAAAGCGCGCGUAGGUGGUUUGUUAAGUUGGAUGUGAAAUCCCCGGGCUCAACCUGGGAACUGCAUCCAAAACUGGCAAGCUAGAGUAUGGUAGAGGGUGGUGGAAUUUCCUGUGUAGCGGUGAAAUGCGUAGAUAUAGGAAGGAACACCAGUGGCGAAG